rnacentral:rRNA from 1 species
UCCGGUUGAUCCCGCCGGAGGCUACUGCUAUUGGAAUUUGACUAAGCCAUGCGAGUCAAGGUGUCUUCGGACGCCGGCAUACGGCUCAGUAACACGUAGGUAACCUACCCUCAGGACUGAGAUAACCCCGGGAAACUGGGGCUAAUAUUAGAUAGAUAAAAGAUACUGGAAUGUUCUUUUAUCCAAAGCUUUUGCGCCUGAGGAUGGGCCUGCGCCCGAUUAGGUUGUUGGUGGGGUAAUGGCCCACCAAGCCUACGAUCGGUACGGGCAGUGGGAGCUGAAGCCCGGAGUUGGGGACUGAGACAAGGCCCCAGGCCCUACGGGGCGCAGCAGGCGCGAAACCUCUGCAAUGCGGGAAACCGUGACAGGGAGAUUCCAAGUGCUCAUGCAUUGCAUGGGCUGUUCUUUGGUCUAAGUAACCAGAGGAGUAAGGGCUGGGCAAGACCGGUGCCAGCCGCCGCGGUAAUACCGGCAGCUCAAGUGGUAGCCGCGAUUAUUGGGCCUAAAACGUUCGUAGCCGGAUAAGUAAGUCUUUGGUUAAAUCCUGCGACUUAACCGUGGGAAAUCUAGAGAUACUGCUUGUCUUGAGACCGGGAGAGGUUGGAGGUACUCCCAGGGUAGGGGUGAAAUCCUGUAAUCCUGGGGGGACCACUUGUGGCGAAGGCGUCCAACUGGAACGGGUCUGACGGUGAGGGACGAAACCUAGGGGAGCGAGCCGGAUUAGAUACCCGGGUAGUCCUAGGCGUAAAUGAUGCGAGUUAAGUGUGGGGGCAUCCACGAGAUGGCCCUGUGCUGUAGGGUAGCCGUUAAACUCGCUGCCUGGGGAGUACGGUCGCAAGGCUGAAACUUAAAGGGAUUGGCGGGGGAGCACCACAAGAGGUGGAGGCUGCGGUUCAAUUGGAUUCAACGCCGGA